UGGGGAAUAUUACACAAUGGGCGCAAGCCUGAUGCAGCCAUGCCGCGUGUAUGAAGAAGGCCUUCGGGUUGUAAAGUACUUUCAGUCGGGAGGAAGGUGUCAAGGUUAAUAACCUUGGCAAUUGACGUUACCGACAGAAGAAGCACCGGCUAACUCCGUGCCAGCAGCCGCGGUAAUACGGAGGGUGCAAGCGUUAAUCGGAAUUACUGGGCGUAAAGCGCACGCAGGCGGUUGAUUGAGUCAGAUGUGAAAUCCCCGGGCUUAACCCGGGAAUUGCAUCUGAUACUGGUCAGCUAGAGUCUUGUAGAGGGGGGUAGAAUUCCAUGUGUAGCGGUGAAAUGCGUAGAGAUGUGGAGGAAUACCGGUGGCGAAGGCGGCCCCCUGGACAAAGACUGACGCUCAGGUGCGAAAGCGUGGGGAGCAAACAGG
rnacentral:rRNA from 1 species